rnacentral:rRNA from 1 species
UGCAGUCGAGCGGGGAAGAGUAGCUUGCUACUUUACCUAGCGGCGGACGGGUGAGUAAUGCUUAGGAAUCUGCCUAUUAGUGGGGGACAACAUCUCGAAAGGGAUGCUAAUACCGCAUACGUCCUACGGGAGAAAGCAGGGGACCUUCGGGCCUUGCGCUAAUAGAUGAGCCUAAGUCGGAUUAGCUAGUUGGUGGGGUAAAGGCCUACCAAGGCGACGAUCUGUAGCGGGUCUGAGAGGAUGAUCCGCCACACUGGGACUGAGACACGGCCCAGACUCCUACGGGAGGCAGCAGUGGGGAAUAUUGGACAAUGGGGGGAACCCUGAUCCAGCCAUGCCGCGUGUGUGAAGAAGGCCUUUUGGUUGUAAAGCACUUUAAGCGAGGAGGAGGCUACCGAGAUUAAUACUCUUGGAUAGUGGACGUUACUCGCAGAAUAAGCACCGGCUAACUCUGUGCCAGCAGCCGCGGUAAUACAGAGGGUGCAAGCGUUAAUCGGAUUUACUGGGCGUAAAGCGCGCGUAGGUGGCCAAUUAAGUCAAAUGUGAAAUCCCCGAGCUUAACUUGGGAAUUGCAUUCGAUACUGGUUGGCUAGAGUAUGGGAGAGGAUGGUAGAAUUCCAGGUGUAGCGGUGAAAUGCGUAGAGAUCUGGAGGAAUACCGAUGGCGAAGGCAGCCAUCUGGCCUAAUACUGACACUGAGGUGCGAAAGCAUGGGGAGCAAACAGGAUUAGAUACCCUGGUAGUCCAUGCCGUAAACGAUGUCUACUAG